AGCUCAGCUGGGAGAGCAUCUGCCUUACAAGCAGAGGGUCAGCGGUUCGAUCCCGUUA
rnacentral:tRNA from 5 species